GGUAGUGAAUAAAAUUUUCUAUCAAAAAUUCAACCUAUUCCGAUUCUUUUUCACUGCUAAACUAGCAAAUAUCUCAUACCGGCACAAAAAUUAUCAAUUUUGUGAGCUUUUGAUCGUAAGGUAAUGUAUCGAAAAAUUACAAAAUUUGAUUUCUAGAAGUUUUAAAUGCUCUAGAUAAUAUUCAACGGUAUGGAUCGUCGAUUUGGAAGCUCUAUCAUCGAAAACAACUUAUGAAUGUAAAGACGAUCGUACUCAUAAGAGUAUAGUAGCCCGACGCUACAUAUAUAUAUAUAUAUAGAUAUAUAUAGAGAGAGAGAGAGAGAGAGAGAGAGAGAGAGAGAGAGAGAGAGAGAGAGAGAGUUGGGCUAGGGCUACUAUAUUCUUAUGAGUAUAGAGCCCUUCAUACAUAUAAGUUGUUUUCAAUGAUGGAGCUUCCGAAUUGACGAUCCACUCCGUUAAAUAUGAGCUAGAGUAUUUGAUACUUUAGAAAAUAAAUUUCAUCAUUUUUGAAAUCAUAAUAAAGUUCAUCAAGAAGAUAUAAAAUGAACAGUCAAAAUCGAACAACGUCUUAAAAAUGGAAGAUCGAAUCCUUCAAUUUAAGAUCGGAGUUAUUGAUCUUAUCUAUGUAGUGAAUAGAAUUUUCUAUCAUCAAAAAUUCAACCGAUUUUGAUUCUUUUACACCGUUAAACUAGCAAAUAUUCCAUACCGGCCGUUAAAAAUUGUCGAUUUUGUGACCUUUUGAUCGUAAGGUAAAUGAUGUCGAAAAAUUAUAAAUUUUGAUUUCUAAACGUUUUAAAUGCUCUAGAUAACGUUUAACGGUGUGGAUCGUCGAUUCGGAAGCUCUAUCAUCGAAAACAACUUAUAAGUACGAGGACGAUCGUACUUAUAAGAGUAUAGUAACCGAACUAUAUAUAUAUAUAUAUAUAUAGAAUUAGGCUGGAAUACUAUUAAUAGUAAAACGCUCGUUUUGCUAUCAAGUUUUUAACCCUUGGAUGAAAAAUUGUAGGGUUAGGAUGAUAUUAGUCGGUUAGAGUUGAGUGGUCCCCCUAGGGUUGAGUGGUCNNNNNNNNNNNNNNNNUGAUCUACACUAUUGAAAGUAUUUAGAAACUAAAUUUCAUAAUUUUUCAAUAUCAUUUACCUAUCAAACAAGUAGUCUAAAAUUGAACGACCGAAAAUAAAAAUCUCAUGAAAAAUGAUGAUAAAAGAUUUAAAUUCAAGAUCAGAUAUACUGAUCUUACUCUAAAUAGUGAAAAUUCUAUAAAAUUUUCAUCGCAUUUGGAUUGUUUUACAGCGUUAAACUCACAAACACACCACAUCGGCUAUUAAAAUUGUCAAUUUUGAGAUCUUUUGAUUACUAGUCAAAUGAUGUCGAAAAAAUCUGAAAUUUAGUUUUCAAAUACUUUCAAUAGUAUAGAUCAAGUCUAAUGGAGCCAAUCGUCGAUUUGGAAGCCGCAUCAUCGAAAACAACU
rnacentral:lncRNA from 1 species